rnacentral:snRNA from 1 species
UAUGUGAUAUGAUGCGAUUCAG